rnacentral:rRNA from 1 species
AUACGGAGGGUGCGAGCGUUAAUCGGAAUUACAGGGCGUAAAGCGUACGUAGGCGGUUGGUUAAGUUAGAUGUGAAAGCCCCGGGCUCAACCUGGGAACUGCAUUUGAAACUGGCAAACUAGAGUAUGGUAGAGGGGGGUAGAAUUUGUAGUGUAGCGGUGAAAUGCGUAGAUAUUAGAAGGAAUACCAGUGGCGAAGGCGGCCCCCUGGACCAAUACUGACACUGAGGUACGAAAGCGUGGGUAGCGAACAGGAUUAGAAACCCUAGUAGUCC